rnacentral:rRNA from 1 species
UACGGGGGGUGCGAGCGUUGUCCGGAAUCACUGGGCGUAAAGGGCGCGUAGGUGGCCUGAUAAGGGUGUGGUGAAAGUCCGGGGCUCAACCCCGGAUCUGCCGUGCCGACUGUCAGGCUAGAGUGCUGUAGGGGCAGGCGGAAUUCCGGGUGUAGCGGUGGAAUGCGUAGAGAUCCGGAGGAAGACCGGUGGCGAAGGCGGCCUGCUGGGCAGAUACUGACACUGAGGCGCGACAGCGUGGGGAGCAAACAGG